UCCCGAGCGCUUUAGCGUUUGGGGUCAGAUGCCUCACGUGACGACAUCGGCCCUAGAGUCGUCUCACAAGGUGCUGCUCAACCUGGUGCCCUGUAAGCAGCCAGCUUUCUGGCCGUUCUAUCGUGUUGUUCAACGGCAAGAACAGGAAACCUAGGAGAGGACGAUAAGGCCGAUCUGCUGCUGGGAAGAGAGGCGGGCCCCUGCCUUCGUUCGCCAGAGGAAGAGCCUUCUGAGGGCAAGGGAGGAGAUGCGCCAGGAUGGGGGCUCCCUGGAGGUCUUUCUGAACCUGUGGCUGUACUCAGAGAAUGAGCUUGAAAUGCGGCUAAUACGGUACUUCGGGUAAUUUUGAAACGAUUCCCCGAAUUCUUGGGCGAGGUGAGGGGGCCCCUGCCAACUCCCGCACCAGCUGACCUCAAC